UUGCUUUUCCACUCUUAAUAGGGAUUCGGUUACCUGCAUCUCUAUCCCCGACACGUCUUCUUUUGCCUGGGGACUGUAAUGUGUAUUUGCUCAUGUCAUUAUUGACAUAUUUGGCCUGGACCUGCGAUCAUCGAUCUCUAAACAUAUUUUUUGUAUUAUCUACUACCAUCGGUAUAUAUUUCAUCUAUCAUUGGAAUCUUCCUGGAUGAUUAUAUCCACCGCUGUGUAUCAGAUUGUGAAAAUCAUGGCUACAUAGUAGCAAUAAUCCUGUUCAUUUCGUCCUGAAGAAGCCCCACGGUGAAACGCGUAGGCGACUUCAAUAGGAUUCUUUCACUAUUCUCUUGUUCUGAA